rnacentral:rRNA from 1 species
CGGCAGCACGGACUUCGGUCUGGUGGCGAGUGGCGGACGGGUGAGUAAUACAUGGGAAUCUGCCUUGUAGUUGGGGACAACCAGUGGAAACGCUGGCUAAUACCGAAUAAGAUCUAAGGAUGAAAGUGGGGGAUCGAAAGACCUCACGCUAUAAGAUGAGCCCAUGUCUGAUUAGCUAGUUGGUAGGGUAAAGGCCUACCAAGGCGACGAUCAGUAGCCGGCCUGAGAGGGUGGACGGCCACACUGGGACUGAGACACGGCCCAGACUCCUACGGGAGGCAGCAGUGGGGAAUAUUGGACAAUGGGGGAAACCCUGAUCCAGCAAUGCCGCGUGUGUGAAGAAGGCCUUAGGGUUGUAAAGCACUUUUGUUAGGGAGGAAGGUUUGGAGACUAAUAAUCUCUGAAAUUGACGUUACCUAAAGAAUCAGCACCGGCUAACUCUGUGCCAGCAGCCGCGGUAAUACAGAGGGUGCAAGCGUUAAUCGGAAUUACUGGGCGUAAAGGGUCUGUAGGCGGAUAAUUAAGUCGGAUGUGAAAUCCCCGAGCUCAACUUGGGAACUGCAUUCGAUACUGGUAGUCUAGAGUAUGCAAGAGGAUGGGGGAAUUCCUGGUGUAGCAGUGAAAUGCGUAGAGAUCAGGAGGAACAUCAAUGGCGAA